CCUACGGGAGGCAGCAGUAAGGAAUCUUCCACAAUGGGGGCAACCCUGAUGGAGCAACGCCGCGUGAAGGAUGAAGGCCCUAGGGUCGUAAACUUCUUUUGUUAGUGAGGAAUAUGACAGUAACUAACGAAUAAGGGUCGGCUAACUACGUGCCAGCAGCCGCGGUAAU
rnacentral:rRNA from 1 species